GACGGAGGGUGCAAGCGUUGUUCGGAAUCACUGGGCGUAAAGAGCGUGUAGGCGGAUUAGUAAGUCGGGGGUGAAAGCCCGGGGCUCAACGUCGGAACUGCAUUUGAUACUGCUGAGCUCGAGUACGGGAGAGGGGAGUGGAAUUCCUGGUGUAGAGGUGAAAUUCGUAGAUAUUAGGAAGAACACCAGUGGCGAAGGCGGCUCUCUGGUCCGGUACUGACGCUGAGGUGCGAAAGCGUGGGGAGCAAACAGG
rnacentral:rRNA from 1 species